rnacentral:rRNA from 1 species
AACGAACGCUGGCGGCGUGCUUAACACAUGCAAGUCGAACGAGAAAGUCGUAGCAAUACGGCGAGUAAAGUGGCGCACGGGUCCGUAACACGUGGAUAAUCCGCCUUUGGGUGGGGGACAACCUGUCGAAAGACGAGCUAAUACCCCAUAAGCCCACGGGAUCUUCGGAUCCUGAGGGAAAAAGGUGGCCUCUAUUUAUAAGCUAUCACCUGAAGAUGAGUCCGCGCACCAUUAGCUAGUUGGCGGGGUAACGGCCCACCAAGGCUCAUAUGGUUAGCUGGUCUGAGAGGACGACCAGCGACACUGGAACUGAGACACGGUCCAGACUCCUACGGGAGGCAGCAGUGGGGAAUUUUGGACAAUGGGCGAAAGCCUGAUCCAGCAACGCCGCGUGAGUGAUGAAGGCCUUCGGGUCGUAAAGCUCUGUCGGGAGGAACGAAAAAGGACCACCUAAUACGUGGCCCGAUGACGGUACCUUCAAAGGAAGCACCGGCUAACUCUGUGCCAGCAGCCGCCGUAAAAC